AUUUGUUUCUGAAAGAUCCCUGAAGAGAGACCCUUACUCAAGUCUCGGGAAAUUGCGGACCCCAGACACAGAGAGACCA
rnacentral:pre_miRNA from 14 species